UCGGGAAUUUUCCGCAAUGGGCGCAAGCCUGAUCCAGCCAUGCCGCGUGAGUGACGAAGGUCUUCGGAUUGUAAAGCUCUUUUAGCAGGGAAGAUAAUGACGGUACCUGCAGAAUAAGCCCCGGCUAACUUCGUGCCAGCAGCCGCGGUAAUACGAAGGGGGCUAGCGUUGUUCGGAAUUACUGGGCGUAAAGCGAGUGUAGGUGGUUGUCAUAGUCAGGUGUGAAAGCCUUGAGCUCAACUCAAGAAAUGCACUUGAUACUGGGCGACUAGAGGACCGGAGAGGAUAGUGGAAUUCCCAGUGUAGUGGUGAAAUACGUAGAGAUUGGGAAGAACACCAGUGGCGAAGGCGGCUAUCUGGACGGUUUCUGACACUAAGACUCGAAAGCGUGGGGAGCAAACAGGAUUAGAUACCCUAGUAGUCCCUGAGCGGGCUGGCAAGGCGCAU
rnacentral:rRNA from 1 species